AAGCACUUGAAGUGAACAAAGUUUUUUCUAAAACAACAUUAUGAGCGAUUUAAAGAACUAAAGAACUUAAAAAACUCAAAAAUAGUAAUAAUUCUAAUUUUCUGAAUUAGUUUCAGAUCAUAGAUGAAACAAUUACGUUUUAAUAGGUUAAAAAAAAAGAAAAGAAUCAAAAAAAAGUUAAACGAAAAGUGUUCUUGGUAAAAUAAAAUAAAAUAAAAAAAUUUGAAAAGGAAAUUAAGACAGUGUAUUGUAAUUUAAAACCUAACAAUAUUUUAAGAGCACAUAAGAAGUUCACGCUUCCUUCUUUACCAAUGACGCAAGUUUUGCCCAGAGCACUCGGAACCUAUUGGAUCUCACUUCAAAAAUGAACACUGGCGCUCUAACAACUGGGCCACGGCUACAAAUUGACGUGAACUAAAUGAAUAUAGAUAAAUAUUUAUAAUUGACGCAAAUAAACGUAAACUAAAUGAGCAUAUUU